GCGCGAAAACUUUACAAUGCGAGAAAUCGUGAUAAGGGAACCCCGAGUGCCCGUAAAUUCGGGCUGUCCAUCAGUGUAAAUAACUGGUGAAGAAAGGGCCGGGCAAGACCGGUGCCAGCCGCCGCGGUAAUACCGGCGGCUCGAGUGGUGGCCGCUAUUACUGGGCUUAAAGCGUCCGUAGCUGGGUUGUUAAGUCUCCUGGGAAAUCUACCGGCUCAACCGAUGGGCGUUCAGGAGAUACUGGCAACCUAGGGACCGGGAGAGGUGAGGGGUACUCCAGGGGUAGGAGUGAAAUCCUGUAAUCCUUGGGGGACCACCUGUGGCGAAGGCGUCUCACCAGAACGGCUCCGACAGUGAGGGACGAAAGCUGGGGGAGCAAACCGGAUUAGAGACCCCGGUA
rnacentral:rRNA from 1 species